UUAAUUCAAAUUUGUAUGGAGUUGGAACUUUUGCCUACGUUUGCCGCUCGAGGCGCUGUUCCAACUGCAUAAAAAUUGAUGUUA
rfam:Bombyx mori DNA, contig: Bm_scaf1_contig869, strain: p50T/Dazao, build 2, whole genome shotgun sequence.